AAAAUGGUUUUGGGGAAUAUUUAUUUCGUGAACUCAGUGCUGUUGCUGGUGCUGUCACAAUUACCUGUCUCAUGGUGGCAAAUCUGGUUGGCUUUGUUAUUGGACCGGGAGGCAUCAACUGGUUGCUUUCUUCUUUCAUUCGAAAAGAAGGACUGCCAGUUCUUGGUGGCUUACUUCUGUCGUUUUACGUGGGAACGAAGCUUAUGUUCCACAUAGCUGAAGCAAAGCAAAGGUCACCUUGAACGGAGACAUAUGUUGCCUAUAUUACUUGAUCCCAAUCUGCAAAUUCCAUGUUCUCAUGAUGUGCUAGAAGUUACAUCACAGAGUUCUCUGGGUUAUGUUAUCAAACUGAUCUUCAUUUUUUUCAUGGCAAAACCAAAAUCAAAGACAAAGGAAAAAGAACAAGUAAAGCUGAUUGGAAAUGGAUUAUGAGUAAAUGGUUCGGGAUUAAGCAUUUUACCUACCAGUUUCGUCUGGCCAGAAAAACGAAUAUUCUUCAUUGCUUUUGAAUUUUGAUAAUUGCAUUUUGCUUUCUUUGUUUCGCCAGAAUAAUGUGUAGUGUUAUGUUUGCCUGUUUAUUUACUUUCAGAUGUCAAGAAAGAAGGAAAGAAAGAAAGAGGAAAAAAGAAACCCAUUUAAUUGCCCCAUUUUGCAUUAUGACUUGUGAAUGCAAGAGAACUUGACAAUAUGCGGGAUUUAAGUAUGGUCCUAAAAAGAUAUAAUAUUCAUAUCUCAUA